rnacentral:rRNA from 1 species
CCCGUAGAGAAGCUAGUGUUAGGGGGUUUCCGCCCUUUAGUGCUGAAGUUAACGCAUUAAGCACUCCGCCUGGGGAGUACGGCCGCAAGGCUGAAACUCAAAGGAAUUGACGGGGGCCCGCACAAGCGGUGGAGCAUGUGGUUUAAUUCGAAGCAACGCGAAGAACCUUACCAGGUCUUGACAUCCUCUGAAAACCCUAAAAAUAAGGCUUCUCCUUCGGGAGCCAAGUGACAGGUGGGGCAUGGGUGUCGCCACCUCUUGUCGUGAGAUGUUGGGUUAAGUCCCGCAACGAGCGCAACCCUUGAUCUUAGUUGCCAUCAUUAAGUUGGGCACUCUAAGGGGACUGCCGGUGACAAACCGGAGGAAGGUGGGGAUGACGUCAAAUCAUCAUGCCCCUUAUGACCUGGGCUACACACGUGCUACAAUGGACGGUACAAAGAGCUGCGACACCGCGAGGUGGAGCUAAUCUCAUAAAACCGUUCUCAGUUCGGAUUGUAGGCUGCAACUCGCCUACAUGAAGCUGGAAUCGCUAGUAAUCUCGGAUCAUCAUGCCGCGGUGAAUACGUUCCCGGGCCUUGUACACACCGCCCGUCACACCACGAGAGUUUGUAACACCCGAAAUCGGUGGGGUAACCUUUUUGGAGCCACCCGCCUAAGGUGGGACAGAUGAUUGGGGUGAAGUCGUAAAAAGGGAAACCGGGAAGG